rnacentral:lncRNA from 1 species
AAGCAACCUAAGAGACCUAAAAAUGAUCAACCGUUUGGACCUUGAGACCCCCCACCCCCAUCAGCACUUUCUCUCUUUCAUCUCCGUAAGGCCAUUCCAACACCCCUGCGAAGGAAACCGGCGACCAGAACACACACAAAAUCGCCGACUCCACCCACCGGAAAUCGACCACCCACACCCCUAAAACUUGCUAGAAUCCGCCACCCUUCAGCACACCACCAAGAAAUCAGCCGAAAACCCCAACUCCCAAACAAAAUCGGCACCCUCUCACCAUCUCGUUCUCUCAUACAAAGAGAAAAAGAGGGCAGCCUCACUGGAACGAACCAGAUGGGAAGGAAUUGAAAUUUCGGAGAACUUUGUUUCUUGGACAUUCUUUUGAGAGAUAAAAUUGGGAUUUCAUAAAGGUUCUGCUUAUUUUUCAAUCUAAAGACAGCCCUUUUCAUUUUCAAUUUCCAGAUUUUUAUUUUGGUAAAAAUAUUUUUUUAAAAAAGGGUUCAGCUCCUUCUUUCGGAUUUUGGAUUUCUAUUUUUCAAAGGNNNNNNNNNNNNNNNNNNNNNNNNUGUAAAUCGCGGGUGCAUUUCAUGUGACGCGGUUCGCAAGUGUAUGACAAUCGUGAUUUGUUCCAUAAACAUUAGGUCAAUCAGAUAAUCGUGAAGGUUAAAAAAUGCACGUAUGUUUAAAAUGUGUAAUUAAUCAGAUAAUUAGGUUAAUUAUUUAUAGUUAAGCGACCGUACUAAAAUCACGGAACCCGGGAAUCCCUAACACCUUCUCCCAGGUUAAUAGAAUUCCUUAUCCAGAUUUCUGUGUUCGCGGACCAUAAAAAUAAAGUCAACUUCCUCGAUUCGGGAUUUUAAACCGGUGACUUGGGACACCAUAAAUUAUUCCAAGUGCCGACUCUGAACUUAAAUAAAUAAUUCCAUUUUGAUUAUUGUCACUUUAAUUGGAAAAACUCCCCUAUACCCCUUUCGUGUAGAAAAAAGGAGGUGUGACACCUCUGGCGACUCUGCUGGGGAAAAGAACCCAGAACUUUUUAUUCAGGGUUCAAGAAUUCGAGCUUAGAAUAAUUGUUAUAUUUGGCUUUUAUUUAUUAUCUGAUUUUUAUUACAUGCUUGGGCCUAAUGUGCUAAAUGCCUCUUUUUACCGCUUUGAUAUUAUUUGAACUGUAUAAAAACUGUUGCGAAACCCUUCUCUUCUAAUCUUAUGGGAAGUGCACGUUGACGUGACUUCUUUUCUGUUAGUGUCAUACCAUAAUUUAGAACGAGGAUUGGACCAGUUACAAAGACGGAUGACCUUUUGGUUACGGUACGUUGCCCCCCCAGCUCGAGUUGUCCGCUCGGGUAAGCCAUGUCUAGAACAAUACACCCAAGUUUUAAACCUAGAAUAACAUAGCCUCAUGCCGGAUCCCUAGGAGGAACGUUUGUUUGUAUCAUGUGUAUUUGACUUAGGGGACUCAAUAUAGGGGUUGGGUCCGUUUAGGACAGGUGUACCCAAAAAUAAAAGACCAUCCUGAUGCAUCAUAUGUGCUACAUGUUGCAAUCUUCAAGAGUAAUAGGAGUCAUUUGGAGGACCAAUGAGGGUUGAGGGUAAAUGAGAAAGAAAAGAGGGUGAAGUAUAAAAAUGAAGCAAGUAGGGCCUAGUUAUAUUUUUCUUUCCCAUUUUUUUUCCAAGAAAAAGACAAAAAAAUGAAAAUGAAAAAAAUUUAAAAAGAUUUUGCAUUUUCCCAUCAUUUCCCAAAAAAAAAGAAAAUGAAAAAAAAAAAGAAAAAAGAAAAUCCAAAAAGAGACUACAUACUUCAUCAUUUUUCAAAAAAAAGGACAAAAAAUAUAUUUUCUCUAAAUUAGUUAUUUUUUUAAUUCUCGCCCGUAUCCAAUCUUCUCUCGAACUAUGCAUACCUGAUUUUCGUCUUUUGGGGCGUGAUACGUAGGCAACCCAUAUAGGUUCCGGUUUUUCUAGUGAGUCUUAGGUUCUUGGCUUCGAGGGUCGUAGCCAAUUCUCGCAUGUCUAGCCACUUUUGGCCAUAUCGGUCAUUUGCAAAAUGUGGCUAUUUUCGCAAAAGUGGUUUGUUUAAUUGUCUGGAGAGUCUUGAAUCCACAAUUAGGUAUCUCUUUACUUUAAGGCCCAUCCUUGUCGAAUUUUCAUGUCUAGCCGCUUUUGGCCACAUCGGCCAUUGUUGCAAAUAGGGUCAUUUUCGCAAAAGUGGUUCAGUGACCCAUGUCAUAGAGUUCUAAGUAGACAACAAAAUGUUCUCUCUAUUUAAGGUCCAUUGUAUUAAAUAUGCAUGCUUAGCCAUAUUUUUGUCCACAUAGGCCAUUUCUAUAAAGUAAUUUUUUCAUGUCUUAGAGGUCACCUUUUGUCACGAUCCUAAGCCCAGACCUGGUCGUGAUGGCGCCUCUCGUGAAGACAAGGCCAGCCGACACAUUCCUAUUUCAAUUUUAAGCAAUUAAAAUAAUAAGCAUUAAGUCUUAAACAUGAUAAAAAUCCCAAAAUAAGCAGUGAACAAUACGAUUUGCAGAAUUUAAAACCAACACAGCCUGAUAUCGAGGUGUCACUAGUCAUGAGCAUCUAUCAAUAUACUACAAGUCUGUAGCGUCUACAAAGCUAUUACAGAAUCGCUAACAAGAGAAAGGAAAUGAGAUAAAGGGGGAGAAACACGGGGCUGCGGAUGCCGAGCAGCUACCUUGUGGACUCCGAAAUCAGCUGGGAGCUCUCAACCCUCGCAAGCAGGAUCAAGAGCGCCUGAAUCUGCACACGGGGUGCAGGGAGUAAAGUGAGUACUUCAACUCAAUGAGCAAAAAAUCAUAAAUAGAGACUGAGAAAUAUGAAAUCACGUAAGGCACAUUACAGUCUAUAAUGAAGCAGUAAAAGCCAGUAAAAAAAUAGUGAAUCAGUGAAGAUAUGUAAAGUCAUUUUAGUUUAGUUUAAACUUCAAGAAAUGCCUUUUUAACAAUUAAGCAGGUAAAUGACAGGCAACUAGGAAAGAUAAAUACAUAAAGGAUCGCCCCUCGGGCAAUAUCAUAGAACAACACCAGCCCCUCGGGCUAUAUCUCACAUCACAAUGGGUACCCGCGCUCACUGGGGGUGUGCAGACUCCUGGAGGGGCCCCUUACAGCCCAAGUGCAAUAUGAAUCCAUCUCGUGGAAUCAUCACUAGGCUCUCGGCCUCAUAUCAACAAGCUACCUCGUGGCGUACAAAUCUCAGGCCCUCGAUUUUAUAAUCAUAAUCAGGUUUUUCCUCACAACAUAAGCCCUCGGCCUUACUCAGUCAGAAUCUCACAAGCCACUCAGGAAACAGUAAACACAUGAUGCUCAGCCCAAAAAUAUCAUUUAAACAUCAAUUUAAGUGUUAAAGCAGAGUAAACAUGGUUGAGUUAUGAAAACAGUAGAAUAUAGUAUGACUGAGUUCAAGUAUAAAGUCAAAACAGUGAGGAACUAUCAGUAAAAAUCUCCUAAGGGUUCAAAUAAAUGGCACUAGGCACAAAUAUGGCAUUCAGCCCAAAACAUGGUGAUAACAAAUAGUGUUCAGUCAAAUAUGCGGUAAAAUAGUCAUUCGGGACGGACUAAGUCACAAUCUCCAACAGUGCACGACCCCACGCUCGUCAUCUAGCGUGUGCAUCACCUCAAUAUAGCACAUGUGAAAUCUAGGGUUUCAUACCCUCAGGACAACAUUUACAAUCAUUACUCACCUCAAUCCGAUCCAAACUCUAGCCCACGACGCCUUUGCCCCUCGAGUCGGCCUCAACUCGCGCCAAAUCUAUCCAAAAUCAGAAUCACGACGUCAAAAUACGUUAAGGGAACGAAGCCCAUGCGAAAAUAAUCAAUUUACAACACAAAUCCCAAAAUUACCAAAACCCGACCAUCGGGCCGACGUCUCGAUUUUUGAUAAAAUUCACAUCAAUAGAUUCCUUAUCUACCCACGAGUUCAUACAUAUCAAAAGUACCAAAAUCCGACCACAAAUAGUCCCUUAAAUCCUCAAGUCUAGGUCUCCAAUGCCAAGCCCUAGUUUUCCCCAAUUUUAACCCUUAAAUUACAUUAAUUACAGCUCUAAUCCGUGAAAUAAUACCAUAGGAACGAGUUUUGGGUCCAAAAUCCUUACCUCAAUGAAACCCCCUUGAAAUCCUUUUUCAAAUCGCCCAAAAAGCUCCAAAAGCCGACUUGAAAAUGGUGUAAUAGCUUAAAAAUCGCAAAGGAAAUAAUUUAUACCUUCUGGCCCAUGGAUUUCGCAUCUGCGGCCAAAAUCCCGCUUCUACUGUACCGCUUUUGCGGUCCAUGAACCGCACCUGCGGUCCUCUCUUAAGUCGCCCAGCUCCGCAUCUACGAUGCUAAAUCUGCACUUGUGCCAUCGCAGGUGCAGCUCUUUGACCACUUAUGCGGUUCUAGCUCUCCUAGCCCCUUUCCACUUCUGCGACCACAAUCUCACUUCUGCGAGACCGCACCUAGGGUCCCCUAGCCGCAGGUGCGGUUAUGACAGCAAUGGGAACUUCAGCUAUCACAACCAACUCCAAAUCUUUUCGCCAACCAUCCGAAAUCACUCCGAGGCCCCUGGGACCUCAACCAAAAGCACAAACAUAUCAUAUACCACUACUCAAGCUUGUACCAAUAUCCAAAACACCUCAAACAACAUCGAAUCAACCAAAACACAUCGGAUUCAAGCCUAAGUUUCCAAAAUCUUCUAAAUUCUGCUUUUGAUCAAAACUCAACCAUACCACGCCCGAAAUUUUGCACACACAUCCCAAAUGACACAAUGGAACUAUUCCAACUCUCAGAAUUCUAUUCCGACCCAUAUAUCAAAAUCUCACCUACCAACCGAAAAACGACAAAUAUCCAAUUUUGCCAAUUCAAGCCUAAAUCUACUCCGGACCUCCAAAACACAUUCCGAUCAUGCUCCUAAGUCUCAAAUCACCUCCCGAAACUAUCCGAACCAUUGGAACUCACAUCCAAGCCCUAUAACUCAUAAGUCAACAUUCGGUUGACUUUUCCAACUUAUGCUUCCUCAAAAGAGACUAAGUGUCUCAAACCUUACCAAAUCCUUUCCAAACCCGAGCCAACCAACCCGAUCACACAUAGAACCGAUAAACAAAGCAAUAAGAAGAAGAAAUGGGAGAAACAGAGCGGUAACUCAUGAGAAGACUGGCCGGGUCAUCACAUCCGCCCCCUCUUAAACAAACAUUCAUCCUCAAACGAGUCAAGAAACAUACCUGAAGCCUCAAACAGGUGAGGAUAUCUGCUCUGCAUCUCCAGCUCGGUCUCCUAGGUAGCCUCCUCUACGGGCCGACCUCUCCACUACACUUUCUCCGAAGCUAUAUCCUUUGAUCUUAACUUUCGAACCUGACGCUCCAAAAUAGUUGCUGGCUCCACAUCAUAAGUAAAAUCACCAUCCAACUGAACCGUGCUGAAAUCUAGAACAUGAGACGGAUUCCCAAUAUACUUCCGGAGCAUAGAAACAUGAAAUACCAGAUGCACACUCGACAAGCUAAGUGGAAAAGCAAUCUCAUAAGCCACCUCCCCAAUCCUCCGAUGCACCUCGAAAGGUUCAAUGAACUGAGGACUCAAUUUACCCUUCUUCCCAAACCUCAUAACACCCUUCAUGGGUGAAACCUUCAACAGAAACUUCUCACCAACCAUGUAAGACACAUCCCAAACCUUCCUGUCAGCAUAACUCCUUUGCCUCGACUGUUUUGUACGAAGCCUCUCCUGAAUUACCUUCACCUUUUCUAAGAAAUCUUGUACCAAGUCUAUCCCCAAUAGCCUAGCCUCACCCGGCUCAAACCAACAGACUGGAGAUCUACACCGCCUCCCAUACAAAGCCUCAUNNNNNNNNNNNNNNNNNNNNNNNNNGACCCUCCGAAAUCAAUGACACAAGCACGCAACAUCUCCUCAAAUAUCUAGAUAGUGCGCUCGAAUUUCCCAUCCAUCUGAGGGUGAAAAGCUGUGCUUAACUCAACCUGAGUACCCAACUCUUGCUGCACAGACCUCCAAAACUGUGAGGUAAACUGAGUGCCCCUGUCUGAAAUGAUGGAAACUGGGACAUCAUGCAAACGAACAAUCUCCCGGAUAUUGAUCUCUGCCAACCGCUCUGAAGAAUAGGUAGUACACACAGGAAUGAAGUGCGCGGACUUAGUUAGCCGAUCCACAAUCACCCAAAUAGAAUCGAACUUCUUCAAGGUCUGUGGGAGCCCAACUACAAAGUCUAUGGUGAUCCACUACCACUUCCACUCUAGAAUAUCCAUCCGCUGAAGCAAGCCACCCGGUCUCUAAUGCUCAUAUUUUACCUGCUGACAAUUGAGAUACCGAGCUACAAAUCCCACAAUGCCUUUCUUCAUUCUUCUCCACCAAUAAUGCUGCCUCAAAUCCUGAUACAUCUUCGCGGCACCUGGAUGAAUGAAAUACCACGAGCUAUGGGCCUCCUCUAGAAUCAACUCCCGAAGCCCAUCUACAUGGGGCACACAUAUCCGACCCUGCAUCCUCAACACCCUAUCAUCACCAAUAAUCAUAUCUGUGGCAUUAUCAUGCGGAACUCUGCCCCUAAGGAAAAGCAAAUGCGGAUCAUCAUAUUGGCGCUCUCUGAUGUGAUCAUAUAAGGAAGACCGAGAAACCACACAAGCCAAUAUCCGACAGGGAUCCAAAAUUUCCAACCUCACAAACCGAUUGGCCAAGGCCUGAACAUCAACUACAAGAGGUCUCUCCCCAACUGGAAUGUAUGCCACACUCUCCAUACUAGUCGCCUUUCGUCUCAAAGCAUCGGCCACCAUAUUGGCCUUCCCUAGAUGGUACAGUAUAGUGAUAUCAUAAUCCUUUAGUAACUCCAACCAUCUCCGCUGCCUCAAAUUAAGAUCCUUCUAUUUGAACAAGUGCUGGAGGCUACAAUGAUCAGUAAACACCUCACAAGACACACUAUACAAAUAAUGCCUCCAAAUCUUCAACGCGUGAACUAUGGCAGCCAACUCCAAAUAAUGAAUGGGGUAGUUCUUCUCACGGGGCUUCAAUUGACGAGAAGCAUAAGCAAUAACUUUACCCUCCUACAUCAAAACACACCCAAUACCAAUUCUUGAAGCAUCAUAAUACACUAUAUAUGAACCUGAAACUGAUAGCAAAACUAACACUGGAGCUGUGGUCAAGGCUGUCUUGAGCUUCUGAAAGCUCUCCUCACACUCAUCUGACCAUACAAAUGAAGCACCCUUCUGAGUCAACUUGGUCAAGGGCAAUGCGAUAGAUGAGAAUCCCUGAACAAACCAGCGAUAAUAGCCCUCCAACCAAGAAAGUUGCGAAUCUCUAUGGCUGAGAAUGGUUUGGGCCAACUCUGAACCGCCUUUAUCUUCUUCGAAUCAACCUAAAUACCCUCAGCAGACACCACGUGCCCCAAGAAAGCCACUAAACUGAGACAAAACUCACAUUUGGAGAAUUUUGCAUAAAGCUUCUCCUCCUUCAAUAUCUGCAAUACAACUCUCAAAUGCUCCAUGUGUUCCUCCUGGCUACGCGAAUACACCAAAAUAUCGUCAAUGAAAACUAUGACAAACGAGUCAAGAUAAGGCCGGAACAUGCUGUUCAUCAAAUGCAUGAAUGCGGCUUGGGUAUUGGUCAGCCCAAAAGACAUCACCAAGAACUCAUAAUGACCAUAUCGGGUCCUAAAAGCUGUCUUAAGAAUAUCCGAGUCCCUAAUCUUCAACUGGUGAUAACCUGAACAGAGAUCAAUCUUGGAGAACACUCUCACUCCCUGAAGCUGGUCAAAUAAAUCAUCAAUGCGCAGCAAAGGAUACUUGUUCUUAACUAUCACUUUGUUCAAUUGCCUACAAUCAAUGCACCUCCUCAUAGUGCCAUCCUUCUUCUUCACAAAUAGAACCAGCGCGCCCUAAGGUGACACACUAGGCCAAAUGAACCCCUUAUCAAGGAGUUCCUAAAGCUGCUCCUUUAACUCCUUCAACUCCACUGGUGCCAUACGAUAUAGCAGAAUAGAAAUGGGCUAAGUGCCCGGCACCAGGUCAAUACCAAAAUCAAUAUCCCUGUCCGGUGGCAUGCUCGACACUUCUGUUGGAAACACAUCGGGAAAAUCCCUCACAACUGGAAUAAAAUCAAUACUGGGAGUCUCUGCACCGAAAUCCCUCACAAAGGCUAGAUACGAAAGACAACCCUUCCCAACCAUACGCUGGGCCUUCAAGAAUGAGAUUACCCUACUAGGAACAUAAUCAAUCACACCUUGCCACUCAAUCCGUUGCACACCCAGUAUAGCCAAUGUAACUGUCUUAGCAUGACAAUCCAGAAUAGCACGACACGGAGAAAGCUAAUCCAUGCCCAAAAUAACAUCGAAAUCCACCAUACAUAAUAGUAAAAGAUCAACUCAGGUCUCCAGACCCCCAAUAGUCACCACACACGACCGGUACACACAGUCUACAACAGCAGUAUCACCCACUAGGGUAGAUACAUAAACAAGUGAAACAAGAGACUCAUAGGGCGUACCCAAAUAACGAGCAAAGUAUGAUGACACAUAAGAAAAUGUGGAACCGAGAACUUCCCUUUCAUAGCUUAAGAUGCUUGCUCCCCCUGAGUUAUUGCUAUAGUUUACUCACUCACGUUUCUCCCCCAUUAAUAUCAAUCAAAAAGAAAAAAUAACAAGUACAGACAGAACAUACAAAAUAAUGUAGAUAAUAGACAAAGUGGUUAGUGUAGCAGAGGUUAUGCCUUCAACAGAGGCACAGAGUAAUGCUUCUUCAGACAAACACAAAAGUAGUUCACAAAAUAAAAGUAAGCAAUGAAAAAAAAUAUUUUUAACACACACACACUGCCUCAAUUUCUCCCUAGAAAGUACUUCAGGGUAUUGAUCAAUUUGGUGCACAAAAAGUCAUAAAAGGUUUCAACUUCUUUGGUGAUUUUGUCCAUCUUUUCUAUUAUGAAGUUGAAUGCCCUGAUUCCUUUCCUCCUUGUGGCUCCCAUGUCCAUCCUGAGCUUAGCCACAUCUGUGCUCUUUUCCUUGGUAACUUCCCUGAUCUUGUCCACAUGUUCUUUCAUUGCAAUCAAUAGGAUUUUUAACCCAUCUAGACUUUGUUGAAUCUGCUGUAGGUUGUUAGAGGAAGUCGACUGAGGCAUUGUCAGUUCAGUAGGUGCUUCGACUUUCACUAGAGUACUUUCAACCUUGGCAUGCCUGACCCAUCCAUCAUCACUAAAGGUGUAACCCAUCAUAGCAAAUGCUGUCUUUGUAACGACCCAACCGGUCAUUUUAUGAAUUUCAGCCCCAUUUCCCCUAUUUCUGCUUCUUUAUGUGUUGUUCAGUUGUAUUAUGUGGUAUUAGGUUGGUUAGUUCGGGUUGGAGUGGUUUUGGAGAGGAAUGAGACACUUAGUCUCUUUUCAGUAAGCUUAAGUUGGAAAAGUUAAUCGGAUGUUGACUUAUGUGUAGAGGGUCUCGGAUGUGAAUUUUGAUGGUUCGGAUAGCUCCGUUAGGUGAUUUAGGGCUUAGGAGCAUGUUCGGAAUGUAAUUUGGAGGUCCGUGGUAGAAUUAGGCUUGAAUUAGCGAAAUUGGAAAUUUGGCAUUUUCCGAUCGGCAGUGGAAAUCAUGAUAUCGGGGCCGGAAUAGAAUUCAGAAAUUGGAGUAGGUUCGUAGUGUCAUUUGUGACGUGUGUGAAACAUUUCAGGUCAUUCGGAGGUGAUUUGAUAGGUUUCGACGUUGUUUGUGGAAUUUGAAAAUAUCUAAGUUCUUUGGCUUGAAUCUGAGGUUGAUUUGGUAUUUUGGUAUUGUUUUGAGUGAUUCGAAGGCUCGACUAAGUUUGAAUGAUGUUAUGAUAUGUGUUGGCAUGUUUGGUGGAGGUCCCGAGGGUCUCGGGUGAGUUUCUAGAGGUUAACGGACCAAUUCUUGGUUUUGAGAGUUAGUAGAUUUUGCUGGUUUUCUGUUGCAGAAGUUUUAUUCAUUGCGUUCGCGGACAAUGUCUCGCGUUUGCGAAGAGUGUUUUCUGAGAUGGUGAAUUUUUUAUGGGUUUACAAUGUCUUAGCUUUAUGUUUUGAUGAUCUAACAAACUUACUAUCAAAGAACCAGAUAAGGAACCUGACACACUUGGUACACAUCGCAAAUCAACGGACUCCAGCUAAUGUGAACUACUACAACUUCAGAAGAUAAAGAACCACCAUAGGGACCUCAUACCCUUGUGUUUCCCUGACAGCAGUACGAAGUUAACUGUGUACAGUUGGAAAGUGACUGCCUAAACUGUACACAGAAACAAUGCAGUAUAGUUCUGCAGUCACUUGUCCUUUGACCAACCAAGUAAUUACAUCAUUCAAGUGAUGUCAUCCAAGUUAUAUUAACAAGAGUAUUAUAACAAAACAUCACUUGAUUACUUGAGAAUUCACUUCAAGCAUUCAAGCUAUCUGAUAUUCAAGCAUUCAAUUCUCAAGUGCAUCAAGAACAAGUUUAACACUACUACGGACCAGUUCUUAAAUCUAGUAUCUUGUUGUCCUUAGUUGAGUUUUAACUGUGUAAUUGUUCUUCAUUGUAAUUCCUACCUUGCUUAUCUAGAAGCGUUGCUUAGGAACACCUUAUAAAACCAUAAACCUUUAGUGUUUGUGUCGUGACUAGAGUUAAUCAUUAGUUGAAGUCUUUAUAAUAGGUGUAUUGCAAAGUGACUUGUAAUAGGUGUAUUGCAAGUUAGUGAGGGAUUAGGAGUUUAAUUCCUAGAUUGUAUAGGUUGUAAUCUAACGUUGCUUAUAGUAAAGUUGAAAUCUUACCAAUGUAGGUCGUGAUUUUUUAUCCCUUUGAGCAUGGAUUUUUCCACGUAAAACUCCCUGUCUUACUUACUUACUUACUGUUUCAUUAGCAUUCUUAGAGGAAACUCAUAAGAGGACCUGGUCUCUGUAUAGUUUAGUGGACUCAAAUAAACUAUCAAUUGGUAUCAGAGCAGGUUCCUCCUAUCAAGCUAACACCUAGGAAGGAUCCUUAUGGCUGCUCCACCAAAUUUUGAAGAAGGUCGGUAUACGUAUAGACCACCCAGGUUCAAUGGGCAAUACUAUGGGUGGUGGAAGACAAGAAUGCAUGAUUUUAUCAUAGCUGAAGAUUCUGAGUUGUGGGAUGUUAUAUCCGAUAGGCCUUUUGUCCCAACAAUGAAUGUCAGAGAUCUUCCAUUGACGAUGCCAAAGACCAGGAAAGAAUACACCGAUGUAGAUAGGAAAGUUGUGGAGAAAAAUUUUCGUGGUAAGAAAAUUUUGGUGCGUGGCAUAGGACCUGAUGAAUACAGCAGGAUCUCAGCUUGUCAAUCCGCCAAGGAGAUAUGGGAAGCUUUGCAAACAACACAUGAGGGAACCACUCAAGUAAGGAAAUCUAAGGUUGAUAUGCUUACAACUGAGUAUGAGCUCUUUAGGAUGAAAGACGAUGAAUCUAUUCAAGACAUGCACACAAGAUUCACUUACAUCAUAAAUGAGUUACACUCACUUGGUGAAGUCAUUCCCAGGAACAAGCUCGUGAGGAAAAUUCUUAGUAUCCUGCCUAGUUCAUGGAAGAGUAAAGUAAAUGCUAUUACUAAAGCAAAGGACUUGCAGUAGCUGACCAUAGAUGAGCUAGUUGGAAAUCUGAAAACCUACGAAAUGAAGAGGAAGAUAGACAGUGAAAAAAGAGAACAAAGAAGGAAAAGAACCUGGUACUCAAAGCUGAAGGCAAUUACUCAAGUGAGGAAGACUGUGACAUAUCUUACCUAGCCAAAAGAUUUCAGAAAAUAGUCAGAAGGAAUGGUGGGAUACCAAAGACAGGAAGUUCCAGUAGACCAAAGAAUUAUUACCUCUGUCAUAUAUGUGGAAAGCUAGGGCACUUUAUCAAAGAGUGUCCUCUCCUAAAGCAAGAACACUUCAAAUACAACCCUGAUAAAGCAGCCAAGAGGAACCUGGUUCCUGACAAACGCUUCAAAAGAAAGAACGCCGCUGAUAAUGUUAUGAAGCAAGCUCUUGCAGCAUGGGGAGAUUCCUCCAGUGAGUCUGAGAAAGAAACUAAUGCAGGUAAUAGCUCUACGAUAGCAGUUGAAAGUGAAGAAAAUGAAUAUGAUUCAAUGUUUGCUUUGAUGGCACAAUCAGACGAUGAUGAAGAUGAUCACAAUGAUGAGGUAAAUUUUAGGGAUGUUCAGAGAAAUUUAAAAUCCUACUCCUAAAAAACUCAUGUCAUUAGCAAAUGUAUUAAUUAAUGCCUAUCAUAUUCUUGUAGAUGAUAAGGAUGCCUUGACCAUAGAAUUAGGAGAUGCUGAGCAAACCAGAGAUGACUUGGUAGUUUGUGUGGUUGACUUAAAGGAAACUAUAAAUAAUAUCGAAAAUGAAAAGAAGGCUUUAACUGAGAAAUCACUAGUGUAGAACAUGAAAGAGAUGAUCUGGUAGUAGUAGUAUCUGACUUAAAAGAAACCAUUGAGAAAUUCAGUAAAGAAAAGGAUGCCUUAGUAGAGAAAGUGACUAUUAUUGAGCAGGAAAAAAAUGACCUCUUAAUAGUGAUUACAGACUUAAGGGAAACAAUAGAGGAACUUGGAGUUGAGUGUAGGCCUAGAAAGUCAGAAAAAGGGAAAGAGGUAGCUAGUGAGGCACACAUUAAGCUUGAAAAUGAGUUAAAAGCUGUGAAAGCUAGUUUGUGUGCUGAACUUGAGAAAACUAGGCAGCUCCAAGCUGAACUGGAAAGAGUAAAAAAUGAUCUUGAGAAGUCCCUUAAGUGGACCUGGUCCUUGGAGGCUGUUACUGCCAUGUAUGUUAAUAAUGAUAGUAACAGGAAAAGAAUAGGGUUUCAAAGGGAUAGAAUUCCUUACAACCCUCAUAGCAAAUAUGUUACUGUACCCGAUAAUUGGAACUGUGGGAAUAAUGGGAACUUCAAGGAAAAUUUCCAAGCCAGGUUUCAGUCUCUGCAGAAAAAUGAAGUUUUUGCUGAGAAAAUAACUGCUAAAUGGGGACCAGGUGCCACUCAUAAAAAACGCAUGUUACCUACAUGGACUAAAAGAGAACUUAUUCAUCCUCUUCCUUACUACAAGGGACCAAAACUUUCUUGGGUUCCUAAAUCUAAUAUGUGACCUCCAUGUGCGGGGAACAGUGAAAGGAAGCAGUCAACAAUGGUACAUAGACAGUGGAUGCUCAAAGCACAUGGAUGGAAACACCAUGUACUUUCUUUCACUAAAAGCCCUGCAAGGAGGGAGUGUAUCCUUUGAAAAUGGGAAAAGGGGUACAUUCUUGGUGUUGGAAAAAUUUGAAAGUCACUCACUCACUCAAUUAAGAAUAUGUACUAUGUCAAUGGCCUCAAGUACAGUCUCUUGAGUGUCUCCCAGAUAUGUGAUAAAGGAAACAAAGUGGAAUUCUUAUCCAAGAUAUGCACAAUUACAAGUAUAGUAAUGAAGUAGUACCGGUGGCCAAAAGAUACAAGAAUAUCUAUGUUGCUGAUUUCAUGUCUCUACAAGGUGGAGAUCUCAGUUGAUUGAAAGCUGUUGAUGAUGAUGCUGAACUGUGGCACAGAAAACUGGGCAUGCAAGCUUUUCUCUGUUGAAUAAAUUGAUUUAGAAGGACCUGGUCCGUGGUCUGCCCAUGUCAAAGUUCAAAGAACACAAGGUUUGUGAUGCCUGCGCUAUGCAUGUGAAAUCCUCAUUCAAGCCAAAGAAGGAUGUCAGUACCUCAAAACCACUAGAUCUCCUCCAUAUGGAUCUAUGUGGCCUUAUAAGAGUGCAAAUCAGGGGAGGAAAAAGGUACAUCUUUAUGAUACUGGAUGACUACUCCAGAUUCACUUGGACUCUGUUCCUUAGAGAAAAAGAUGAAACAUUUGAAGUGUUCGUAGCCUUUGUGAAGAAGAUCCAAGUGAAGAUGGAAUCAAGAGUAGCAUGCACUAUAUCAGAUCAUGGAACAGAGUUUGACAAUGCUAAGUUUGAUGAAUUCUGCAACGAGACUGACAUCACUCACAACUUAUCAUCCCCAAGGACUUCCCAGCAAAAUGGAGUUGUGGAAAGGAAAAACAGAACCCUUGAGGAAAUGCUAAGAAUAAUGCUGAUCGAUAGUGGGAUUGCUAAGAACUUCUGGGCUAAAGCUGUUAACACUGUCGCUACUUGGUAAACAGGUGCAUGAUCAGGUCUCUCUUGAACAAAACCCCCUAUGAGUUGCUGAAUGGAAGGAAGCCCAAGCUGACUCACCUAAGAACAUUUGGGUGCAAAUGUUUCUUAACAAUGGAAAGGAUCAGCUUGGAAAAUUUGAUGCUAAAAGUGAUGAAGGAAUAUUUUUGGGUUACUCUUCUCAAAGAAAAGCCCACAAGAUAUACAACAAGCGGACUCAAUGUGUUGAGGAAAAUGUUCAUGUAAUUUUUGACGAGUCCUAUGAGAAAAGCAACAAGGAUGAUCAAGAUAGAGAGCCUCGGCUAGUUCCAGGUGAGGUCAUUGACAUGACAAACGGAAAGGCAAACAUGAUAAGUCAGGUGAAAGAGCCAAGUGAAGAUAAUGUAGUAUCCUCCUCACUAGUUGGAGAGGAAUAAUGUACCAUAAUUACAACCACUGAAGCUAAAGAAAGAGUGGUUUAUGCAGUUCAAAGUAAUCCACAGGCAGCUGAGAGAAGAAUGCAAGGGAACCAGUCAGACUUACCCAACUCCUCUACAAAUAAAAUUCAAGUGCCCAACUGGAAACACAAAAGCUCCCAUCCUCUUGAAAAUAUAAUUACCCCUCUAGAUUUAAGUGUGCAAACCAGAUCAAAAGCCAGAAAUUCACUUGCCUUCUCAGCCUUUCUUUCCCAAAUAGAACCCAAAAAUAUCAAGGAAGCCUUAAAAGAUGUAUAAUGGAUUACAACUAUGCAAGAUGAGUUGCAUCAUUUUGAAAGGAACAAUGUAUGGCACCUGGUACCUAGACCCUGAGAUCGAACCAUCAUAGGAACUAGGUGGGUAUUCAGGAAUAAGCUUGAUGAACAUGGAAACACUACAUGGAACAAGGCUAGGCUAGUAGUCCAAGGUUACAAUCAGGAGGAAGGAAUCGAUUAUGAUGAGACGUUUGCUCUGGUGGCUCGCAUGGAAGCUAUCAGAAUCCUAAUUGCUUUUGCAUUACAUAUGAAAUUUACUCUGCAUGGAUGUCAAAAGUGCAUUUCUAAAUGGAUUUCUUAAGGAAGAAGUCUAUGUAAAGAAACUUCUAGGGUUUUAAUGUCAUGAACACCUUGAAUAUGUGUUCAAAUUGGAUAAGGAAUUGUAUGGGUUGAAGCAGGCUCCUCGAGCUUGGUAUGAAAGGUUGUCAAAGGGCCUCUUAGAAAAUGGUUUUACAAGAGAGAAAAUUGACAACACCUUGUUCCUAAAGAAAUGGGGGAGGAACCUGCUCAUUGUUCAAGUAUAUGUUGAUGAUUUCAUUUUUGGGGCAACAACUGAUUCACUGUGUGAAGAAUUUGCAAAACUCAUGGGAAGUGAGUUUGAAAUGAGUAUGAUGGUUGAGUCGAAUUUUUUCUUGGGUCUUCAAGUGAAACAGUCCACAAAGGGUACAUUUAUCUGCCAACAAAAAUAUAUCAAAGAGCUCCUGAAGAGGUUUGAUAUGGAAGCAUCAAAAGUGAUAGACACUCCCAUUGCCACUAUUACAUGACUGGACAUGGAUGAGUCUGGAUCUCCUGUAAAUCAAACCAUGUACAAAGGCAUUAUUUGGUCUCUUCUCUAUCUCAUUAGACCUGAUAUUGUCUUUAGUGUGGGGCUGUGUGCAAGGUUUCAGUCAAAUCCCAAAGAAUAUCAUCUGAAGGCUGCCAAAAGAAUUUUGAGAUAUCUUAAGGGAACACGGGACCUGGUCCCUGUACUACCCCUCAGAUGACAAUUUUAAUCUUAUUGGGUAUGCUGAUGUUGACUAUGCUAGUUACCUUGUGGACAGGAAAAUCACUUCUAGAAUGGCUCACUUUCUAGGAUCAUAUCUCAUCUCAUGGGGCGCAAGGAAGCAAAACUCAGUGGCUCUUUCAACAGCUGAAACAGAAUAUGUAGCUGCAACUUCUUGCUGUGCUCAGCUCCUAUGGAUUAAACAACAAUUGGAAGAUUUUGGUGUGUAUACCGACUAUGUGAAUUUUCUAUGUGAUAACACCAGUGCACUCAACAUGGCCAAGAAUCCAGUUCAACAAAAACGAACCAAGCACAUUGAUGUAAGACAUCAUUUUCUGAGGGACAAUGUGGAGAUAUGGCUUAUUUGUAUGAAGUUCUAUAGUACAGAAGACCAAAUUGCAGAUAUCUUCACCAAAGCAUUGAGCAGAAAAUAUUUUGAAAGAAAUAGGCCAGAGCUAGGGCUAAUAAAGACAAAUUGAGAACCUGAUUCCCAUCAGUUGGCUAUGAAAGUCACACUCAGGUAACAUUAGCUAAAGUGUUUUCCGGCCAAGUCUAACUCACUUCUAUAUCGUUGCAGGUAGACACGCAUGAUGAUUAUAGAAGCUGUAGAUGCACUACAUGGUUGGUAAAAGAGGAUUGAAAUU